AUGAGGAGUUCAAGAACAUGGCCACAGAUGGAAGAAGAGCAGAGCCGAGACGCUAAGAAAAAAAACAAAUCCUGAUAGGACCCUUUUAGGCCUUAGAUCAAGUUAGACCUGAAGCCAGCAGGUUAGAUUUUUCCAUUAUAUAAAGCGUCUUAUACAAAUUGCCAGGAUCGGCCAGUGAAAGAAUAAAAACAAACAAGCUCUGCAGAUGCUAAGCUCUAGAAUUCUUAUCUUGAUCCUGGGCCAGAGUUUGGUAGGUAAUGUCUUUCAGAUGGGCCGGGUCUCGGCAGCAGAUGCCCCCCUGGGAAGUGUGUUCGUUAGUUGAAAACACUCUUGGACGUGAGUGUGCUGACCCACUGGAGCUGGUGGUGAGGACACAGGCGCAGGCCAGCUGGCUGCAGUGGGAGCUGCGUGGGAUGGCACACAGAUUUGGAUCUACUAAUUAGCAGCAGGUCCAGGAAAUGGGCCUCAGUUGGGAGAGGCCCCAGGUACUGAUCAGGGAUCCAAGCUGAGUCAUCUUCUGGGUGAGUCAAGAUCCUGUGCGGAGUAAGUGUCAGAAAAGGAGUCUCAGCUCUUGCCUGCAGUCUUUGUUCCUCUCGCCACUCUCCACAAAGCCAGCUUCCUUCUGCUAAAAUAGGCAGAAGGGGAGAAGAUGAGGACAUGACAAAUCUCAGGCUGGCCAUUCUAGAGAAGGUCCCUUCUUAGAGACAAGAAGAUAGAGAAAGAAGAAAAACAGAGGGGAGAGAGGUGGAGUCUUGUGAAGGAAGUCAGAGCCUAAUCCGACAUGAUGAAGAUUUGGGCCAACUUUUUCUUCUUUUACGCACAGAGUCUUUGGACUAAUUCCUACAUCCUUGAUCCACUUUGAGUUGAGUUUUGUGCAUGGUGACAGAUAGGGGUUUAUUUUCAUUUUGCCACCAAGCCUUUAAUCACCUCUAAAGACAGAAUGUUUUUUCCCCUUUCCAUUUCACUGUUUUAAGUUAAGCCAAGUGUUUCCUCUACAGUUUAGCAAGUAGAACAGUCUUAAUUAGUAGCCUUUUGAAUCUUGAAAGGAUUCUGUUAACAUGGUCAUCAUUUUAUUCUACAUCCCCCAAUAACCUUGAUCCAGCUCUCAGGCCUUUUGGAAAAGGCGACAGCUUAGAGACCCUUGGGCCUAAAGCCACAUUCAGGGCUCAGAGCCAGCUCUCUCAUCACGCUGAGCAUUGGAGAUAUGAAAACUCUAAGCCAUGUCUUGCCAUCGAGGAGGUCACAGUUUAUUUGUUGCUGAGUUGUCAUAGAAUAAGUGCCAACACACAGUGUAGAAUCCUAACAGCUUUGAUUUUAGAGAUGUAGGAGAAAAGAAUGUCUCCCUAAGCAAGUGUAUGGAUUGCUUUUGAUGGGUACAGAAUCCUGAAUUCAACUUCCUGGUAUAUUUACUUAGGAAGUAUUGAUUGAGUAAUUAGCAUGUCUUAAGACAUGGGGAUACAAUGGUACAUGGCCGACAGUCCUGACUUAGAGAGGAGCUUACAAGCUGGAGUGAAGUAAGGUGUAGUGAAGGAACGAGGACAAAUGACUUGUGAUGUGCCAUGGGAGUAGAAGCUACUUGAUCCAGAUGCGAAGUCAGAGGAAGUGAUGUUGAAGCUACCAUGUAAAGGGACACAGAAGUAAGCAACAAAGACGAGAGUCAGAUAUCUGGGUUGGCUUUCCAUCACUGUGGUUUGUUACUUUGAAGAGUAUCAGAAAAGUGACAGGUCUUUCCUGAAGGUGGGCUAGGUGUAAUAGCUCAGUCUGACCUCUGAUCAAAGACGGGCUCUGAGUGAUCAGCCAGGCUCAGAAAGGGCCAAGGUCGUUUUGGGUCAGGAGUGGAUCAUCAUGCAUCCCACCAAGUAUGCCUUGGCUUUGGGGUUAAAUGUCAAGAAACAAGCAAAAACCAAAUAAUCUCCUGGCUUUCUUGUAUCGACUCAACAAUUUCGAAGCCGGAGAAGAAGUGUUGAUAGUUCUGAAAACAUAAUUUAUUAUGAAAACAUCAUUUAUUAUUAUUAAAACAACACCACGUUAUCUGUUUGCUUUUUCCUGGUAAUUACUGAUGAUCUUUCUUGCCUAAAACAACUUGAGUAAUGUCUUCUAGAAGAAUCCCAAACUGUUAUAUCAAAGAACACUAAAUUUGUUGAGAAAAUUGGGAUUGGAGUGGAGGGCAUUCAAAGUGGUAUUAUCAUAAGAGAAGGAUAUUAUCAUAAAAAGAAAGAUUUGGGGGAUCAGGUAUGAGAUUUAGAAGCAACACUGAAUGAUCACUUUUCAAGAAUGCUCCUGAAUUCUGAUGACUCGCAGUCCUAGCCCACCCAGCAACUCCACUCUUUAAGGUGUCAGACUCCUCAAGUGUAAAACACAGUGAAUUGAGAUCUGUUUAUACAUUUCUCAAAAAUUUAUUGAGCACCUAGUAUGUGUUAUUAGCACUCAAGAUGUAAGGAAUAUAGAGAAUAAUGGGAAUGGAUUCUAGGUCCUUGACUGGGGAUACAGAGGAUGGCUCACCACCUGGAGGAAGAGGAUGGACAAGUUGCUAACAGUCAACGGGAAGAGCAAAGUGUUCUUGGGAAUACAUGGACUCAAAAGAGGACAACCAUCCUGGUACUAUCAUUUGGAUAAGGUUUGAGUUUAUCCCUCAAAAUUUCAUGUGCCUAGCUUGGUGCCAGUGUGGUAAUGGGACCUUUAAAAGGAGGAGCCUAGUGGGAGGGGUCCCUAUGUGGCUGAGGGAGCUGCUCUUGGAAGUAGUUAAGACAGCUCUCUGAGACCCCCAAGGUUUCAUCAAAGCAAGUUGCUACAAAUAUAAAACAGACCAUGUAGAGUCUCUCUGGCUUCCUGUUUUAAGAUGUAAUCUCUCCCUCGCACAUGUGCUCCCACGUCUGUAAUAUCAGCCAUGAAGUCCUCACCAGAGUCAAGAUGAUGCUGGCAACCAUGCCCUUGAAUCUCCAAAGUAGUGAGUUAGAUCAUUUUUUUCUUUAUAAAGUUGGCCUGCAUCAAGUAUUUCAAUAUGGUAAUGAAAAAUGGACUAGGACACCUGGAAAGUUUCACUGCUGGAUAAGAACAAAUAAGGUCUACUAGAAAAAUGGACUAGUAUUUCUAAAGUACUCGUGGAAGCCUAUGCUCUUCAAAGAAGAGGUACAAGGCAUUGCUUGACUUCCUGGUUUUGUAACUGGAGCAUUUGUUUUAGCAUUUAUGAAAAUGAUACUAUGAAGGAAAGAAAUAGAAUUUGGAAGCUUUUUAUUAAAUUGCUUUCUAUUUUGUUGUUAUUGGCAUCUAGAAUGCAGGAAGAUAAAAUGUUCAUCUUUGACCCCAUUUUAUACAAAAUACUCAGUCAUGCGUAAAACAUUUGCAACCAUGACAAAUUAUAAUAAGUCUCUUAAUGUAUCACCUGUUUUUGUUUCCUCUGUAUCCCACCAUACACAAUAUUUGUUUGUCUCUUGCUAGAAUAUUUUAAAGCAAAUUCCAGGCAUCCUUUCAUUUCAUUUCAUCCAUAAAUAUUUCAGCAAGUGUCUCUAUUAAUGAAUAACCUUUGAAAAACACACUUACAAAGCUAUUGUCAUGUGAUUCAAUAUCUAGAAUAUAUUAAAAUAAUCUUAAUUGGCUCAAA